GACACAGCAUGAAGGCAUCAUUUAGCAGAGAUCAACCUUCGUUAGAAAGCAAACUUCCUGGUGCCUUGAUUUUGGACUUUCUAGACUCCAGAACUAUCCUAUAGAGCGAUGGUGGGACGCUGAGAAAAUUCGUGGACUCUUUUUCCAAACCCUUGGAGUUCAUUCUGCCAAUGUGAUGACCCUGAAUGUGCAGCUUUCAAAAGCCCAAGAGACUCCAGCACUGUUAAUUCACUGCUAAACGAUUCCAAGCUGCUUCCACGUGAAUGAGAAUCAAUCUAAGGUUUUGAAAAAGGAGACGCUGGAAGGAAGGAAGGAAGCUCUGAGACCAACGUCAGUCCAGCAUUCUCUUUACAACGAAUUAGAGGAAACAAAAACUGAAAGGAAGUCAGGGUCCAGCAGACGUGAUGGAGACCUGACCUAGCUCCAGAUUAUGGCCAGCACGAACUAUUGGGAUCAACAGGUGAAAGUAAUGAUUUUUAAUAAUAAAUUCUGCUAUAGUUUCCAGACAAGAGAAAGAUCAACUAAAACACAGAGGCUACAAAAAUGAGGAACCUGAACCGACUUCAGUGUCUUAUUUAUGGAUUUUAAGGCUUUAAUAAAGUUACAACCUUUUGGUGGCAAUUGUGUCUGUCCUCAUUCUAGUAUGCCUUCAGUAACCCACCAGAU